AUACGGAGGGUCCAAGCGUUAUCCGGAAUCAUUGGGUUUAAAGGGUUCGCCGGCGGUUUAAUAAGUCAGUGGUGAAAUCUCGGGGCUCAACCUCGAAACUGCCAUUGAUACUGUUAGACUUGAAUACAGUUGGAGUAGGCGGAAUGUGUAGUGUAGCGGUGAAAUGCUUAGAUAUUACACAGAACACCGAUAGCGAAGGCAGCUUACUAAACUGUGAUUGACGCUCAUGAACGAAAGCGUGGGGAGCGAACAGGAUUAGAAACCCUAGUAGUCC
rnacentral:rRNA from 1 species